rnacentral:rRNA from 1 species
ACGCUCGACACCUACGGGAGGCAGCAGUGGGGAAUAUUGCACAAUGGGGGAAACCCUGAUGCAGCAACGCCGCGUGAAGGAAGACGGUUUUCGGAUUGUAAACUUCUGUUCUUAGUGAAGAUAGUGACGGUAGCUAAGGAGCAAGCCACGGCUAACUACGUGCCCGCAGCGCGGUAAUCUGAGGCGGGCUGGCAAGGC